UUAAAUUGAAGAGUUUGAUCAUGGCUCAGAUUGAACGCUGGCGGCAGGCCUAACACAUGCAAGUCGAGCGGAAACGAGUUAUCAGAACCUUCGGGGGACGAUAACGGCGUC
rnacentral:rRNA from 1 species